UAUUUGAGGUGAAAAAUCUAAUCCCUUUCAACUAAUCUAUUCCUUCAGUUCUUAUCUCUCAAUCAGUCACUGCUUAUCCCGCUUGGUCUGACUUUUUCCAUUUUGUUCUAAAAUGGAGCUUUAAAGCUCUCUUUAAUUUGUUUUAUCUCGAUUAGAACUCCGUGAAUCUCUUGAAUUUCUCUCUCAGGAGUCAGGACUAUAGUGAUUUAGCUAAUUGGGUUUUUGAUGGUGGCCCCAAAGAUUCAAAAAUUGUGAUUUCUCAUAAGAAUUUAAAGCUUGUCAUCCACCGGGUAGCUUUGUAUUUGACGCCUCAAGGUAGUUUCGUAAGUUCUUCUUUGUUGGUUCAAAUUUUUAGAGUGUUGGUGUGAAAUUGGUACUGGAGUGUGCGAAGGAGGUUGAUAGCUAGGUUCCAGGACUUGGAGAACGAGCUAAAGGUUUAUGGAUAUGAUGGACUGGUAAGUUCCAGGACUUAGGGAACUAGCUAAAGGCCCACGGAUAUGAUGGAAUCUGGAAGAUGCCUACAGGACAAGCAAUUGAUGGAUGUGCAAUACGUUUUUGUGUACCUCUAGAUUCAUGUUGCGGCAUGAAGAAUCCAUAGAGUUCCGAAAUCUUGGACUUCGGGAUAAUGUUAUGCGAGUUUGUAAAUAAUUCCACUGACCAGGUGUCUGAAGAUUCAUCUGCUAGGUAUAGUUCUUCUCAAAUAAUUUCAUAUAAAAAUGAAAUUUGUGUUGCGUUCUACUACAAUGCUGGUCUUCUUUUAUCACAACUUAACAGAUAACCAAACAAUUGAGAUUAGAUUACCUUGACGGCUUGACCAAAUGGACAUCGUUCUAGCUAGUAUUGUACCUAUUUGGGUAUGUAGUGGCUAUUUUAUACUAACUAUCUGUACAUAUAAAAUUUUGCUGAUGAAGAAUUCAGUAGUGAAUAAGGCACAUGGCAGUCAUUUGCUCUUACUGUUCUUUCUUUUGACUUAUUGCCCAUUUUUUUUAGUCCAAUUCUCAAUGUUAAGCUAUAAUUUUUAUUUCUAAUUUUCUUAAAGAAAUAUUGGUUUUGAGUUAAACCUAUCGAAAGAAGUUGUCAUUUUAUUUGUUUUGUAGGAUAGUUGUGAUGUGUUAUUAAAAGUUAUCGGUUCAGGAAUUGCGGAAUUGGUACCAGAAGCUUAUUAUCUUUUUUUGAUGGACUUAGUAGACCCAGUGUUAAGUUUGCAAUUUCUUCUGUGGUAGUUACUAGUUAGUUAGGGCUUAGUAAUGGGCCUUGUAGUUAUUUUUUUGCUCCUAAGGUAAUUGUAUUUAACCUUCCUGUUCUGAAAGAUGUGAAGGUAUGCCUUGGUCAACUUAUUGAUGAAUGAUUGUCUGUGGAAUACCACGUCAGAGAGUAAAAGGGCGCUAUCGAGGAUACUGUCAUGUACUUAAUCAGAGUAUUGGGCUGCAGUGACUGUUGUUAAUUCUAAAGCUUUUUCUGUUGGGCUUGUGUAUUUGAAUAAGAUUAGGAUAGAUUAUUUCCUAGAGUUUUGUGUGAGGCUGAUGUAAUCCUGGUUGUUGUUUUCGUCAACCAGGAGUGGGCAGUUAAAUAACCAAUGAUUGUGUAAGAUUGAAGCAAUGAAUGAAACCCUAUUUUCCUUUGGAAGAUAAAUUAGGCUCUGUUUUCAGAGAGAAGGUAGCUUGCUACCAAGUAAUUCAUUCAUCCUUGUACUAGUACAGUACAAUUGGUAUCAGACUUCAAUUCUGGGACCUCCAUCAUGACAAUCGAAUCAGCUUCUUGUACUGCUACUGAGGCUAGAACGAACGCCAAUUUUGACCGCAUCUUCAAAGCCUUACAGCUUUUGCUACCUCCUGAGGUACAAUCUGAUGAAACAAUAGAUCAUGGUUCUCUUCACGAAUCAUCAAAAGGAUCUAAUGGAAAUCGUGAGUUGAUCCACACUUCGCAUACUAGUAAGUUUUCUCGAACCCCCAAGGUUGAUUUCC